GGAAGGGCAGAGGAAUGCGAGGGCGGAGGAGGCGGCAGCCGCGCUCCCCGCGGAGAGCCCCGGGGUGCCGAGCGGUAACACCCCCGCCGUGCGCUCCCCCCCCCGGCUCACCCCAGGGGACGGAGUGCCUCCAGGAGCCCCGAGCACGGCGGGGGCGAGCUCCUUCACACCACCUCUGGCCACGAAACGUCUCUCCAUCACACCUCACACCCUUUCACAGAAGGUUUAGGAGAUACUCCAUCUCUGGAAACACAGCGGCACAUCUGCGCUCAGCCCUUAAUAACCGGGCUGCCUGCCGGAGGGGAGAGCUCCCUGAAGAAAGAUGCUUUUCAAAGCUGUCUCUCCUCAGCGCAAGAUUUAAAAAAUGAAAAAAAAAAAAAAAAUUCUUUGCCGCCUUCUCCCCCAGGACCCGUCCAAACUCUUUAAAAAUGGUUUUUGUUUGCUGAAGUCAGCUUUCUGCUCUCAAGCUUUUAAGGAGAACGAAUGCCACGCGCGGAGUCAGUUCUCCCCUCGGCUGCAUCCCCCUUUCCCUUUGAAGUCAGCUGGGGUGUGCAGAGGAGUGCUGGGGGCGGUUAUACUUCGCGUAGCUCCCUGCCUUCAGCCCUCGGAGCGGCGGUGGUGCGGACACCUCGGUGUGAACUACGGCGCUGAGAGCGCAGACGGAGCGAGGAGGGAGAGGAGCCGUCCCCGGGGUGAAGACGCUGCGGGAGGGCUCUGCUCUCAGUCCAACGGUGGGGGCUGCGCGGAAGACGCGGCAGUGGCUCCGAGUCCGGGGUUGCCUCCGCAGCGGGGAGAGCUGCCGUAGGUGUACGGCCUCUCCGGGCUGUAGGGAGGGAGCGAGUGGCGCCGCCGUCGAGGCAGUUCUCGGGACGUGUGUGUCCCCCGGGCGGGCAUCCGCGCUCCUACGGUCUCACUGCAAAAAGCCCCACUGCUGUGCUGCUGCUGCUGGGAGCUGGAGUUUUACGGUUUUACGGGCACAUGAGAUGCUCCUUGUCCUCGGCACCCCUAGGGUUUACUAGCUGCCUUUAAAGAGGGACGUUUGUUGGGAUAAAAGUGGAUUGCAGACUGCAAGAGCGUUGCAUGUGUCUUUCAUUUAAAAGACACCGAGAGCUCCGGGUUUUUUUUUUGUUUUUUUUUUUCUUGUUUUUUUUUUUUUUUUUCUUCUUUCUUUCUUUUUCCCUCCCCCAAGGCAUUUAGUGCUUUUAAGGCACAGUUAUAAACAAGCUGCCGGAACGCCGGCACACGGAGAUGCGGGCGGUGGGGCCGAGAAGGGAGGGGGAGAGCAGGGAGAGCAUCUGUUUCCUCGGGUCUGCAGCAGACUUUGCUCCUAAAGGUGCAAGGCGGAAAAUGCUGCUUCUUCA
rnacentral:lncRNA from 1 species